UUCACUUUCAUUACAAGUACCCCUGCCAAGAACACUAGGGUUAGGCAGGAGCCACCAUUCCCUUUCUCCCUGUGGGAAUAUAGCUACUUUUUAUUACCAUAACUUGUUCUUUCUUUAAUGGUUUUUCAUUAAAAUUUAAGGGGGGAAAAGAAGAAAAAGAAUAAAGUGGCAUUUUUUAAACUACUACAAGAGGCAUUAAAUAGCCAGCCUCCCUCUGGAAUCGCUAUACGCUUUUCAUUAAGCAGGAUAGAAUUUUUUUUUCUUUUUUUAUUGGAACUUCACAGUAGGACUACAAAAGUUUGUAUCCAUUGAUUGUUUUCAUUUAAUAAGAGUCAAGGCUUUCAGCCCCACCCCUCUGCUGCGUCGUAUUGCUCCUUACAUUUCCCCAGGGACUUGGUACUAAGUUUUCCUAAAAUCAUUCCUAUGAGUAUGCUCUCAUCUCACAAGUGACUGAUCCUCCAGGAUGCUGAGUACUCUCAAGUUCUACUGAAGUCAGUGGAAGUCGAGGGCAUGCAGCUCUUUGCAGGAUUUGCUCACAAAGUCAUGGGUGAGUCAUGUGUACUCUGUGCAUUUUAUAUGGCCAGAAACUGUGAGAUCAAAACAGAGAUUGAAUCAAGUCAAAACUAGGAUCACCCAAGGGCCAGGAGAAUUUGCAUCUGUGGUGUUGAUUUGGACCAAUAUAAACAUAGAGGAUAUCUGCAGAAGUAGAUGCAGGUCCUGAUUCAUGUUUCAACAACCCCUCCUCAAAAUGGGGUGUUUGGAUUUGAGGUUCUGCUUUGAAUUAAUCCCUCUACUUAUCAAUGGGUCUCACUAGGGUGAGCAAAGCAGUUUGGAAAAUAAGAACUGACUCAAACUCAGUUUGAACCUGAACCAAACCUUUUUUUGAAGGUUUAAAAAGAUCAUUUGAUUUUUCCCCCUCUCAUUUUCAUUCCUGCCCAGCUGUUUGCCAUUGAGUUCAGGCCAGGGCUGGAAGCAGAAGUAGUGGUAUACCAUGAGAAAUGUAGGAGAAGUUGGAAUUAUAAGACAGCAGAUUUGCAUGAAAUUUCCAGGUCUGUUUUGCAGCACCAGCUUCCAAACUUUAAGUGCUUACCUGAACCCGACUUUUUGUCUUUUUCCCAUCACUAAUUCUCAAGUUCUCCUUGUAAGCCCUAAAGUGAGGCAUGAUUUAGGAAUUCCAGGUCUUAUUCACAGUUUUCCUUAGCUUAUUUUCUCUAUUCUGUGGCUCACUCAAAAUUUAGACUUGAAAUAACCCUUUUGGGGUGAUAUGGAGUCCUGAUCUGAAUUUUGUGACAUAAGCCCAUCUCAAAGCUUUAUUCAAUCCACAUAUAAAAUAUUCUUCAUCCUGCAUUCAGUGAAAACCCCCUUAUGCAACUAUUCAAGAGAACAACAAAAACUGGUUCCUUAACAGAAUUAUUCUUCUAAUAAAGAUGGAGGAUAAUUUUUCACACUACAUUUGAGAACACUCUGUGGGAGUCUCUCAAGCCAUCUCCCAAGCCCCUUGUUUUUUGUCAGAUUCUCUGAAGGACUGACCACUUCAGGAGCAGUAUUGCUAGAUGUCUAUUACUGAUACCUUGAGUUUAAUUCUCAAUGAUGUGCUCUUUCUUUCUCUUACACUCCUUUUCUACCUGGUGUUGCUGGGGAGAUAUCUUGCUUAGCCUCUGUUAUAACAGAAUACUUUUCUGUCUUCAGCAGUGACACCCUUGUAGUUGAAGUAGGAGAUGCAUUUAUGCUCCCCAAAUGAAGACAUUCAUCAUUAGAGGCCAAGGGAAGUCACCAGUGGCCUAGUCCAGUUUCAUUGAAAUGAAGAGUCUUUCAAUGCAUUUCAUUGGACAUUGAAUCUGGUCCCAAGUCCGAGUUGCUGUCAGAGAAGGCCUGGAGUAGGUGUGUCCAGGUGUCAAGAUAUAACUGAUAUGAAAAUUCUUCUUCUUCCUGUGGCCAACUCGUUUGCUAAAACACUUAAGAAAUCUGAUAAAACACCUGUUGUUCAGGACCUCUGCCUCAUUCAGUGCACCAGAUGGACCUGCUCACAGGAUGAAUCAGGGAUGUGUGGUUUUCAUGGUCUCUGGAAUUUUGCAGUACUUUUGCCAUAGUCCACUCCCAAUCACCAUGGUAUUUAGAUUCUAAAUUAAAACCCUCUUCUGAGCCUUGUAAUGAUGCUGACUUCCUGUUUGAAUGCUGACACCAGUGAUAGGACAGGCUUUUUCUCCAGCAUUUUACAUCAUCACCUUUGAGGCAAUAUUGGACACAGUCAAAGGAAGCAGUAGGACAUGUACAGAGCUUUCAAUUCAAGGUCAUUCUGAACCCUCUAACCCGUAAAAAAUAAAAAUAGAGAGAACUGCCUUCCAGGCCUGGCUUUUUCCACUGCUCUGGAUUCUGUCCUUAAUGAAAUCUUAAAAUAAUGAGGCAUAACUUUUAUUAUAAACAUUAUUAAAAAACAGUUUCUAAAACUUCAGUGCUAUGCAGCUGGUUUAUAGUAGGUUACAUGGCAUAAAUAUUUUUCAAUAAUAACAUAAAUAUAAUAUUAAGUUUAUGUGGAUCUAUGUAUUCUGAACUAAAAUAGAGGAUUACUGAGAACUUUGCCCACAUGACCUUGGAACUAUGACCUUUCCUUUUCUGUGAUUUUUUUCCCCCCUUCUGGUUUAUUUUUAGUCUGAAGUGAGCUAUGGUCUAGGAAGCCAGCAUGGCUUGGGAUAUUGUGUCCAACAUAGGUUAAAAAAACAACAACCCCAUGGCAGUAUGAGAUGUGGGACAUUAAAAAUAAAUACAUAAAUAAAGUAAACAU